ensembl:lncRNA
GAUCAAACAAAUUCAGCCUCAGUGAGCAUAAGAGAUUUCUUUAAAAAAAAACAUCUUAAUUAUUCCCAAAUGUUUGAUUGUAAAAUUGCAUGGAAAAGAGCACCCUAUGCAUUCUUCAGAAGUUCUCCUUUUAUGUUUCACAGAGGAAAGAAAGUCAUUUGGUUUGGCGUGACACUAGGGCGACUAAAUGAUGACAGUUUAUUUAUGUUAUGCAUGAGAGGGGAAGUAACGAAAUGAUACAGUACUGCCUUCAGUGAAGAGCCGGUUUUAGUCAAACUGACUCACGCACAAAUGCAAACCCAAACACUGAGAUAACCAGGAGACGCCACAGGAACAGAGCAGCAGACAGACAUUCCCUCAAGACAAGAUAGUGAUGUGUGGGUGUGCAGUAAAGCACCUUCAAAUCUCUUUGGAGUGAUACAGUUAUGAUCCACAGUAUUACAGAGAAGCAGCACAUUAUGAGUCUGUAAUGCACUUCACCCGGUCAGCGGGUCACGCUGAUAAACUGCUGUCUUUCACAAAGCGUUCUGUACUAUACUAACUGCUACAAAUUACAUUUAGACAAGACUUUGUUACAGCUUUUUUUGUUUGGAAGGUUUUUUAGAAUACAAGAGAGAAAAUGCCUUAUUGCUAUUAAUGUAUAACAUGGGUACGUCAUUUCUUAAUUGUGAUGAUUGAGGGCCUUCAUGCAUGAAUCUAGACAACUGUGUUGACAGUUUAUGUGACGGGUGCUUCAAAGAACUGCAAUUCAUUUGAUUACCCUUAAAUUAUUAAUGUUGUGGCGCCACCUUGUGGUGUCAUUUGUCAAAAUGGUCCGUGGCUUGAUAGUUUUACAGGGGAACCUCGUUAUAUUAUAACACAACACAUCAAAGUUAUAACUGGUUUUAAAGGAAAAUCAGAUUCUAAUUUUGAUUUUAAAGAGACGAAAAACUGUAAUGUUUGAGUGAUAUUUUAUAAGAGUAUCAUGAGUGCUGAAGAUUAACAGUAUUUGUAAGAGGGUUUAAGAGACCCUUCCAAAUACUUAUAUGUGUGCACAAUUUAUAAUCUUCAGAUUUAGCUUAAUUUUAUUGAAGUUCAGGCAGAAUACAAGCCUGUCAGGUAUAUAAGACUUCAGGGUGCAAAGCACUCUGUUUUGCUGUGUAGAGUAGUUUAAUAUAAUUAUUUAUUGAGGGACAUUAUUAUUAUUUUUAUUUUUUGUUUGUUUUUUUUGUUUUUUUACUGCACCCCCAAACCUCAAAGCAUGU